rnacentral:lncRNA from 1 species
GAAAAAUGAUCAGUACAUUACCAUGAUCAGUUGCCUUAUAUAUAUAUACAUUACAAAAGUUUACUACCUUGCUUCUAGUCAACAACUUUCUACCAACUACAAUCUUAACUGUUGACAUGAUAAACCAUGCUGUGAAAGACAUUUUAAUGACAAAAAAUAAACACUACAUGGACUGAUUUUAAUACAUAUAAUUGUUACAAAAAGUCACAGCAAAAGUGACAAAUAAACAUCAACACUCUUGCUCGACACUUUUGCUGGAAACACUAAGACUUUUCCUUAAUGUUUCAAACCUUCCUUUCGAUAAUGACUUGGUUAGUAUGUCUGCAUAUUGGUCUUCAGGUUUGAAAUGCACUAGCUUCACUUCACAAUUCUCUUGUGCUUCCCCUGAUUUUGAUAUGUUUUGUCCUUCCAUGGAACACAGGAUUUUUGACCAUGGCUACAGCAGAUUGGUUAUCACAAAAGAUCACAGUUGCAUCAGCUUGUUUGUGGUUUAGAUCCUCCAAAACUUUCCUUAACCAAACAGCCUGAUUGGUAGCUUCUAAAGCAGCUACAUACUCACAUACUCUGCCUCAUCUAUUGAUUGAGCUACAAUUUUCUGCUGUACUGAGUUCCAGCAAAUCACACUUAAACCAGCAUAAAAUACAUAACCAGGGGUGCUCUUCAUAUCAUCGAGCGAUCCAGCCCAAUCACUAUCUGUAAAACUAGUUAAAACCAGUUUUUCUGACUUCCUAAACCAAAUUUCCAGCCCUACAUUCCCUUUUAUGUAUCUUAGCACCCUUUUUGCAGCUUGGAAAUGGAUUUCACUUGGUUCUUGUCUAAACUGGAAAGUAUAUUCGCAACAUAUGUAACAUCUAGCCUUGUGAUGGUUAGAUAAAACAAACAUCCAACCAAACUCCUAUAGAUUUUCUCAUCAGUUUUCUUGGCUCCAUCUUCCUUCAUCAGCUUUGAAUUUUGUACCGAAGGAGAGCUAACUGAUUUACAAUUCUCCAUAUUGAAUUUCUUCAAUACUUCCAUGGCAUACCUCCUUUGGCAAACAAAAAUCUCUUGGUGUGUCUGAUCAAUCUCCAUGCUAAGAAAAUAUUGCAUCUUCCCUAGAUCAGUCAUGUCAAAACCUUUCUUCAAUUCUUCCAUCUCAUUUCUUAUUAAAGUGCAAUUGCUGCUGGUUAUCAAGAGGUCAUCUACAUACAAGGAAAUGAUGAUCUUUUCAUCCUCAACCCAUUUUAUAUACAAUGUUUGUUCAUUCAUACUUUUACUGAACCCAAAGCUGGUUAAGUGAUCAUCAAUCCUGCAAUACCAAGCUCUUGGAGCCUGUUCUAAACCAUACAAAGCUUUCUUUAGUAAAUACACCUUGUAUUCGUUUCUUGCCACCAAAAAACCUUCAGGUUGCUCAAUGAAAAUUUCUUCAUUUAGGUAACCAUUUAGAAAAGUAGACUUCACAUCCAACUGGUGUAUUUCCAUCCUCUUUGAGCAGCAAUACUAAACAAUAAUCUAAUUGUUUCAUAUCUGGCAACUGGAGCUAAAGUAUCAGAAAAAUCAAUUCCAUAUUAUUGGGUAUAACCUUUCACAACUAAUCUGGCUUUGAG